GGUCGCGAGCGACUUUGGUGUGUCGCUCCAACGGGUCGCUCUGGAUCGGGAGCGACCUUAGUAGGUCGCUCUGAGAGGUCGCUCCAGGCUUCGCUUCGUGUCGUCUCUCCAUAAAGACGCGAGCGACCUCGGGGUGUCGCUUUGGGAGGUCGCUCCAAUAGGGAAGUCAGAGCGACUUGGUGGUGUCGCUCCGGACUGGUCGCUCCAUGCCUUGCUCGCCCAAUGACCACUCUGAACACUCCUUUUUGAGCUCCAAAUGCACCCAAAUGUCUCCAGAAACUCCAUGUGGUACUCAAAUACCUGAUAGAGACAUAUGUAUGCAAAAUGCAACCUAAACAUAUCUAAAUCCUAAUCUAUAUGAUGAAAAUGUUUAUGAAUAAAUGGAUAAAACAAUGUAAAUAUGCAAGAUAUCAACAGCCAUAUAUUAUUUUUGAGGUAUUUUAAUAUUGUCAAACGAACCAAAUUUUCCAAAAAUAUUUUACAGUUGUUUAAGAAUAAACUAUAUGGUUUUAGGGAUAUAUAUUUCUUGAGAUUCAUAUCUUUAUAAACUCUGUAAAAGAAAUUAAAUAGUUUUAUAUAAAUUAUAUGGGGUAUUCAGUGUAAAUUUGUUCACUAUCUUUAAAUUAUAUGACUGGUAUUUUGGAUGCUAGUUCAUUUUAAUAACAAGACGAUCAAAUCUAUAUUUCAAAAGUACAAGAAGAAACAAUCGCACAUGGUUGUAAACCUGUAAUUUGUCAAGUAGUUUGAUCUAUUUAUAUAUUUGGUACUAUAGUACAUAAAAUAAUUUUAGAUGUGUGUGUAACGUGGUGCCAUAUAUUAGUAAAUUACCCAAAAGAAUGUGCAUAAUCUAUUUAUGUGCACAUUUCAAAGAAAAUGUAUAUAUUUUCCAUUAAGAAUGUAAUCUCCAUGUUCUAUUUUAAUAUACUAUUCGUUUCACCUAACAAAUGCGUAUAUAUUACUUCACUCAAUUCGUACAGCACUAAUAUAACAUAUAUAGUUCAUGUUUCAAUAUCUACAUAUUUUUUUUAGGAAAACAAAAUAAGUUUGGUUCUUCGCAGAGCAAUUAUUGAGUUAGAUUAAACCAUUUGGAUUUGUAACUCACCUCCAUGGAAUGAUGGAAGUAACUGCCUAUCUAAUAAAAAACAUGGGCUGCGUGAUAGAGGCAGAAACAUGCGGAAGUGUCACAUUGAUUUAUUCAGUUCCGUGAGUAAAAGUAAGUUAAUAUGGUUUUCUUUCAACUGAAUAACAGUAAAAGACUCUUUUUUUUUUAAUUGAAUCAACAGUAAAAAGAUAAGAACGUGAAAAAUGUCUCAAAGAGUUGCGUAAUUGCGCUCCGUUCCUCCUUUACCGGUCCAUUUUGUCAACAUCAUAUUUACUAUUUUGUUGAAAUUUUUUUCAUGUGAUCCUAUAAAUGACGUAAUGUCUGAGGUAGACACAUAUUAUUUUAACAUGAGAUAUAAAUUUUGAUUAGUAACAUUCUUCUCUAGUAUCUAAACUUGUCUACUUCAUAAUUUUUUACAAUUUUUUUUUCACAAAGUUAACUAUUAACAAUACAACAAAAGUCAGACUGAAUUAAUUUGUGUUUGUAUUCUGAAAUUUGGAGUUCAAGGUUAAAAAUAUAUAAAUGUGAUGACAUACUUGUCGUAGUUUAAAAAAAAUAUUAUUUAUAUCUUGAUACGAUUCCAGCAAUUUUUAAAAAUUUUGAUUUGGUCAUUAAUAGAUUAGUAAUUAUUCCUUUUUCUUGCAUAAUAGUACAUUUUUAUAAUAUCAGGAUUGGUAGUAAGAGACUCAGCAGACAGCAGGUACUCGUAUUAUAGUGCCAGGAUUGGCAAAGCUAAAAAUCGUCUCUCUCAUUUUCAGGCAGAAGCAAACUGAGUCUCUAUUUUUUGCUACAGUUUAUUUGGGCUAAAGGCGCGACGCGUUAAAAAGAAAAUAAUAUGCGUUGUAACAUGCGAUGAGGCCAAGUUGAUAAAGGAUGGGCCUAUGUAAGCCCUUGCUUUUAAGAUGGGCCUCACUUCAGUCGUCGAAACCGCCAAAGUAGGCUAAUUAUACUGAGUGAGUUUUCUUUAAAGUUUCUCUUCCUCUUUGUCGUCGUUGUCUCCACCUCCUCCUCUUCCUCCUAAUCGUGGUGAGGAUACAUUUGUGUUUUAUGUAUCUCUCCCAAGCCAUUCCCAUUGUGUUUUGUUCUUGCAAUAUUUUGGGAGGGAAUCAAAGUGUUGCUAUGGAGGCCAUAGAGAGAAUAGUGCUUUGUGAAUUCUAGUAGAGCUGAUCUUGAAGCUUUGGCGAAACAACGGGUCUAAAAUUUUGCAACGAUCAUACAAACUUUAUCUUUUCAAAAAGAUGACCGAAAUUGAUUCUUAUCCGUUAUUAUAUCCAAAAUGCACAUGCAUAAUAUUAUACUAAGUUAUGUUGAACAAGAUUGUGGGUAGCACAUGUCUAAAAUUAUUAUGGCCUUCUUUGAAUUUCUUAAUGAAUGAAUGACAUAUGCCCAAAAGAGCUACGUGCUUCUUACCCUCCACUAUAAUUGCAAAGUUUGUUCGUAAACAAAAAUUUAUUGCAUUCAACAACUAAUUCAAGCUAGUCGUCAUCAUCAUGGCGUGUGUUCCAUAUGCACACGCGUGUGCUCUACAAAGAAACGAAAUAAAGAAUUGUUUCAUAAAAUGUUCAUAUAGACACAAAACAAAAAUGUUGUAUUUUUCUUUUCUUUUUGUUCUUUGCUCUUUGUCUCUCAUCAUUUCAUAUUAAUGUCCUUUUUGGACCUAUCUUAUUUUCUCAUUUUCUGUUUUCUCAUCUUCAUGAUUCUGUUUCCCACAUAUGUUCGUGUGCGUAUACAUUAAAACACAUCUCUUUUUGAUAAUGUUAUCAAAAUUCUUAUAGUUAUUAUUUAUAUUGUUAAUCAUGAUCUAAUACGAGUAAAUUAAACUCAUUCUCAUUCAUUAACUUUCAAUGUACAGGUGUUGGUACUAUGUACAGAUUCUCGUAUCAACUGCUAUAAAUGGACUUUCUAUGCAAAUGAAUCAUAAGACUAGUAUAGAUAAUAUCUACUUCAAAAACCAUGAUUUAGAUAGUGCGUAGACCCACGACACUCAAAACCCAUAUAACCAAUACGAUUAGGUCGCAUUUCAUCAUACAACGGAUCCGACCGGUGACUAUUCCGAAAAAACAAAUAGGAAAAAAACGUA